UGCAGUCNANGNNUCUGGUAUUGAUUGGUGCUUGCAUCAUGAUUUACAUUUGAGUGAGUGGCGAACUGGUGAGUAACACGUGGGAAACCUGCCCAGAAGCGGGGGAUAACACCUGGAAACAGAUGCUAAUACCGCAUAACAACUUGGACCGCAUGGUCCGAGCUUGAAAGAUGGCUUCGGCUAUCACUUUUGGAUGGUCCCGCGGCGUAUUAGCUAGAUGGUGGGGUAACGGCUCACCAUGGCAAUGAUACGUAGCCGACCUGAGAGGGUAAUCGGCCACAUUGGGACUGAGACACGGCCCAAACUCCUACGGGAGGCAGCAGUAGGGAAUCUUCCACAAUGGACGAAAGUCUGAUGGAGCAACGCCGCGUGAGUGAAGAAGGGUUUCGGCUCGUAAAACUCUGUUGUUAAAGAAGAACAUAUCUGAGAGUAACUGUUCAGGUAUUGACGGUAUUUAACCAGAAAGCCACGGCUAACUACGUGCCAGCAGCCGCGGUAAUACGUAGGUGGCAAGCGUUGUCCGGAUUUAUUGGGCGUAAAGCGAGCGCAGGCGGUUUUUUAAGUCUGAUGUGAAAGCCUUCGGCUCAACCGAAGAAGUGCAUCGGAAACUGGGAAACUUGAGUGCAGAAGAGGACAGUGGAACUCCAUGUGUAGCGGUGAAAUGCGUAGAUAUAUGGAAGAACACCAGUGGCGAANGCGGCUGUCUGGUCUGUAACUGACGCUGAGGCUCGAAAGUAUGGGUAGCAAA
rnacentral:rRNA from 1 species